GAAUUGCAGAAUUCCGCGAAUCAUCGAGUCUUUGAACGCAAGUUGCGCCCGAGGCUUGACCAAGGGCAUUUCUGCCAGAGCGUCACC
rnacentral:rRNA from 1 species